rnacentral:rRNA from 1 species
UGAACGCUGGCGGUAGGCCUAACACAUGCAAGUCGAACGGCAGCACAGUAAGAGCUUGCUCUUACGGGUGGCGAGUGGCGGACGGGUGAGGAAUACAUCGGAAUCUACUUUUUCGUGGGGGAUAACGUAGGGAAACUUACGCUAAUACCGCAUACGACCUACGGGUGAAAGCAGGGGAUCUUCGGACCUUGCGCGAUUGAAUGAGCCGAUGUCGGAUUAGCUAGUUGGCGGGGUAAAGGCCCACCAAGGCGACGAUCCGUAGCUGGUCUGAGAGGAUGAUCAGUCACACUGGAACUGAGACACGGUCCAGACUCCUACGGGAGGCAGCAGUGGGGAAUAUUGGACAAUGGGCGCAAGCCUGAUCCAGCCAUACCGCGUGGGUGAAGAAGGCCUUCGGGUUGUAAAGCCCUUUUGUUGGGAAAGAAAAGCAGCAGGUUAAUACCCCGCUGUUCUGACGGUACCCAAAGAAUAAGCACCGGCUAACUUCGUG